UGGGGAAUUUUGGACGAAUUGGGCGAAAGCCUGAUCCAGCAAUGCCGCGUGUGUGAAGAAGGCCUUCGGGUUGUAAGGCACUUUUGUCCGGAAAGAAAUCCUUGGCUCUAAUACAGUCGGGGGAUGACGGUACCGGAAGAAUAAGCACCGGCUAACUACGUGCCAGCAGCCGCGGUAAUACGUAGGGUGCAAGCGUUAAUCGGAAUUACUGGGCGUAAAGCGUGCGCAGGCGGUUUGCUAAGACCGAUGUGAAAUCCCCGGGCUCAACCUGGGAACCGCAUUGGUGACUGGCAGGCUAGAGUAUGGCAGAGGGGGGUAGAAUUCCACGUGUAGCAGUGAAAUGCGUAGAGAUGUGGAGGAAUACCGAUGGCGAAGGCAGCCCCCUGGGCCAAUACUGACGCUCAUGCACGAAAGCGUGGGGAGCAAAC
rnacentral:rRNA from 1 species